CCUACGGGAUGCAGCAGUGAGGAAUAUUGGUCAAUGGACGAGAGUCUGAACCAGCCAAGUAGCGUGAAGGAUGACUGCCCUAUGGGUUGUAAACUUCUUUUAUAUGGGAAUAAAAUGUUCCACGUGUGGGAUUUUGUAUGUACCAUAUGAAUAAGGAUCGGCUAACUCCGUGCCAGCAGCCGCGGUAAUACGGAGGAUCCGAGCGUUAUCCGGAUUUAUUGGGUUUAAAGGGAGCGUAGGUGGAUUGUUAAGUCAGUUGUGAAAGGUUGCGGCUCAACCGUAAAAUUGCAGUUGAAACUGGCAGUCUUGAGUACAGUAGAGGUGGGCGGAAUUCGUGGUGUAGCGGUGAAAUGCUUAGAUAUCACGAAGAACUCCGAUUGCGAAGGCAGCUCACUGGACUGCAACUGACACUGAGGCUCGAAAGUGUGGGUAUCAAACAGGAUUAGAUACCCCAGUAGUC
rnacentral:rRNA from 1 species